GACAAUUUUGAUAGAAGAAAAGAAAAAGUGUACGCUUGAAUUGGUCGAGGAUUGUAUUGUACAUAUUUUUAAAACUUUUGCUAUGUAUUAUAAACACCUAUUUUUAAUUCUUUGUUGAACAUAAGGAUUCUAAUAGAUUUUAAUAUAUUCCACCUGUUUAACACAAUUUUAAAACUGAUGGCACACGCGGGCUCAAUUGCUUGUAAGAGACUAUUUACAAAUAAUGUUGAUGCACAAAAUAAGUGAGACUAUGGAAUGACGUAUGGUGUCAAGUUUGUCACCUUCACAAAGUUAUUCCCGUUACCUAGUGAGGAUAAUAUGUAAAGAUAUAGAGGGUAGAUGAGUUCUUAUUAAUAGUGAAGAGUUUACACAAUACACACGUUCAAGCAUGAAAUUGGUUCCAAGUGAAAUAUCCUGUAAUUAAAAUUCUAUAUACGCUUGACUGGCUAGUCAUCAACACUAGUCAACUAAAAUUCUAUAUAUGCUUGACUGGCUAUCCAUCACCAACCCGUAUGAUUUGAGACAACUUGUGGAGUUCGCACAUGCAAUUGUUGUAGCCAUGGGGAAUAAUUGUUCUACUGCUGAGUGGCGUUCUAGGAAAUAUGUGCACGAUUGUAUCAAGAAGGUGGUGAUGGAUGAAUUAUUAGUAAUUAUGCUGUUGAUGGAUCAAUAAUUAAUUUUGUGAAUUUUUUUUUGUUAUAUGUUGGAAUGAAUUAUUUGCAUAUAUGUGUAACAUUGUAAGUAUACUCUUGAUGAUGAUACGAACAAAGAGUUGAUGAAGUUGAUGGAGGCGGCGUUGGAGGGAGGUUACAACUGGUGGCGCUAUGACGUUAAGCAAAGUGGAGCACCAUCGAAAUAGUAGUUUUAAAUUUUUGUUUUUGAGGACACUAUUUAAAUUUAAGGUUUUGUUUUAUAAAUUAUGUAUUUGGACUCAAUUAGGCUUUAAUUCCUGUUUGAGUUUUUAAAUAAUUGAAUAGAUUAACUCAAUUAGGCUGUGCAUUUCAUGAGGAGAAAGAAGAAAGCCAAUUUUUUUGCAAAAUGACUUGUCCAAAACGACUUCGGUUUGAGCCAAGUCAUUAAAAAAAUUUAAAACCUCACUCACGAGUCACAUGAGAACCCUCACAUGAUAGAGCAAUCAACUCAUUCAGCAUUCAGAACCUUCACUUUACCAAUAAUAUCUAAUCGUCUGCCGCUCGGCCCGCUUCUAUUCCUUACGGCAUCGAUCAACUCUCUGCUGCACUUUAGUUUCUGUUCACUAUUGCACCGACGGGCGGGGCGACGAGUCGACGACAUCUCUGGUGAAAAUCUACAUUUUUUCUCCGUGUAAAGCUCUGGUCUGGACUCUGGAGGCUAGCCGCUGGUCCUCUUCUUCUUGGUCGAAAAGAUGUAAUAGCUCAUUAGAACCCGGAAGGCGGUGAGUUUUACACCUUGAUCGACGACUACACCUACUACUACUGCCACUGCUUCGGCAGAGAUGGACCAUAGGUCAAUGAAUCCGGUUGACCCAGUUGGUCCUCCAGUCCUACUGGCACCGGCAUAUUCGACUUCUUCGAUGGUGCUACCUGUUAGCGCCCGACGUGCUCACCGGUGCCCCCGCAUUCCAUACCAGAUGUCGCCAACAGGAUCCACAACCAAUGCCUCCGGUACACAGCUAGGUAUACUAUCCUAAUUUACUACCUCAUUCCCAUGUUAACUUAGUUUUGUUAUUUUAGGUUCAGUUUGUUAAGUUAUGUCAUUUAAGGAUUAAAAAGUUAUCAUAUAUAUAUAUAUAUAUAUUGUUUAUUGUUGUCAUCGUUCCGAACCUAUUAUUAAACUGUUGUGAUCAUUGUGUUGGAUAUGUAUAUUGUUUAUGUUAUUUUUUGGGUUUUGGGAAAUGUUUUCAUUAUAUGGGGGUUAUGCAGAAAUUUUAGUAUGAUUUGUUAUUAGUUUUGGGUUAACGUUAAUUUUUCAUUUCUUUGCAGCCAAGAAAAACACCUGGGGACCAUGUUGGCAAUUGAAGACGGUGAAGGUCACCCGGGUGACCAAUGAUCGUAUCACAAUCGGAUAUGAUGAGCGACAUCGGACAACACCAACGACGGAGUAGCAUAGUGCAUUGGCCCUUGACAUUGGGCACGUCGUGCGGACCUUUUGCCCUAUGCAGUGGAAGUCUUGGAAGGCGAUGCCAGAGAAGGUGAAGAACACGGUGCGCAAUCAUUUGUUAACAAACUACAAUUUGGAUGACAUCAACGAGGACAUGUUGACGUACCUCAAUCGGCUAUACUCCGAACGCUACAAGUUGUGGAAGAGUGACUUGCACCAGUAUUUCGAGAUGUUUAGUGAUCCGCAGGUCGCUCUCGAGGAGGGUUGC